rnacentral:lncRNA from 1 species
AUGAUGUCCCUGACAGGUUUGGCCAUCUCCUAUGCUGUGUGGGCUACCUCUCGGAGCUUUACGGCCUUCUUGGCCUCCAGAGUAAUAGGAGGCAUCAGCAAGGGGAACGUUAACCUCUCCACAGCCAUUGUUGCUGACCUGGGCUCACCUCCGACCCGCAGCCAAGGCAUGUCAUUGGGGUAGCCUUCUCCCUGGCCUUUACUCUGGGUCCCAUGCUCGGAGCAUUCCUGUCUGUGGAAAUGGUUCCCUGGAUCAGCCUACUCUUUGCCGUCUCCGACAUGUUGUUCAUCUUCUGCUUCUUGCCGGAGACACUGCCCCAGGAAAAGCGGGCAUCUUCUGUCACCUUGGGCUUCCACACUGCUGCCAACCUGCUCAGCCCCCUGGCCCUGCUUCGUUUUGCAGCUGUAGCUCACAGUCAGGAUCCACCUACUGAAGACGGGCUCAGAAACUUACGCCGUUUGGGUCUCGUCUACUUCCUCUACCUCUUCCUGUUCUCGGGCCUGGAGUACACGCUCAGCUUCCUUACACACCAGCGCUUCCAGUUCAGCAGGUAGGUCUCCAUUUUAAAGGGGCUCCUCUUCAAGGUCCUCAGACCCCAGGUCCAGGAACCCUCCCAGCAUUCUGGCUGCCCUUCCCCAUCCCCCGGGCAGUUUGGUGACCUAGGGGGCUAGGUGCUCACCCUCCACCUCCUAGCCUGCAGCAGGGCAAGAUGUUUUUCUUCAUCGGCCUCACCAUGGC